UGGGGAAUAUUGCACAAUGGGGGAAACCCUGAUGCAGCGACGCCGCGUGAGCGAAGAAGGUUUUCGAAUCGUAAAGCUCUGUCCUAUGGGAAGAUAAUGACGGUACCAUAGGAGGAAGCCCCGGCUAACUACAUGCCAGCAGCCGCGGUAAUACGUAGGGGGCAAGCGUUGUCCGGAAUCACUGGGCGUAAAGGGUUCGCAGGCGGAAAUGCAAGUCAGUUGUGAAAGGCAGAGGCUCAACCUCUGUAAGCAAUUGAUACUGUAUUUCUUGAGAUGUGGAGAGGCAAGUGGAAUUCCUAGUGUAGCGGUGAAAUGCGUAGAUAUUAGGAAGAAUACCGGUGGCGAAGGCGACUUGCUGGACACAAACUGACGCUGAGGAACGAAAGCGUGGGUAGCAAACAGG
rnacentral:rRNA from 1 species